rnacentral:hammerhead_ribozyme from 1 species
AUUCAGUGACGCGUCCCGAAUAGAACGAAAUGUGCAUCCUGAAU